rnacentral:rRNA from 1 species
GAAGCAUCUGAUUAGAGUUUGAUCAUGGCUCAGGGUGAAUGCUGGCGGCGUGGAUAAGUCAUGCAAGUCAAGGGGGCCGCAAGGCAACCGGCAGACGAGGUAGUAACACGUAGGUAGAUCCCCCGGAGUCGGGCAUAGCCAGCCGAAAGGUUGGGUAAUUCCCGAUGGUCCUGUAAAGGUAAAGGUUUUUCGCUCCGGGAGUCGCCUGCGUAGUAUCAGCUAGUUGGUAGGGUAACGGCCUACCAAGGCUACGACGCUUAGGGGGGGUGAGAGCCCGAUCCCCACCGAUGGAACUGCGACACGGUCCAUACUCCUACGGGAGGCUGCAGACGAGAAUAUUCCGCAAUGGGCGAAAGCCUGACGGAGCGACGCCGCGUGAUGGAUGAAGUGCUUCGGUACGUAAACAUCUUUUAUCGGGGACGAAGUUAUUGACGGUACCCGAUGAAUAAGAGGCUCCUAACUCUGUGCCAGCAGCCGCGGUAAUUCAAUCGG